rnacentral:tRNA from 1 species
AGUGAGCUGGCAGAGUUAAUGUGUUUAGUUUAGGAUUAAAAGAUGGGUGGGUAGCCCGUUCGCUG